rnacentral:rRNA from 1 species
CCUACGGGUGGCAGCAGUGGGGAAUAUUGGACAAUGGGCGAAAGCCUGAUCCAGCCAUGCCGCGUGUGUGAAGAAGGCCUUCGGGUUGUAAAGCACUUUCAGUGGGGAAGAAAGCCCUGGGGCUAAUACCCUCGAGGAAGGACAUCACCCACAGAAGAAGCACCGGCUAACUCCGUGCCAGCAGCCGCGGUAAUACGGAGGGUGCGAGCGUUAAUCGGAAUUACUGGGCGUAAAGCGCGCGUAGGCGGUCUGAUAAGCCGGUUGUGAAAGCCCCGGGCUCAACCUGGGAACGGCAUCCGGAACUGUCAGGCUAGAGUGCAGGAGAGGAAGGUAGAAUUCCCGGUGUAGCGGUGAAAUGCGUAGAGAUCGGGAGGAAUACCAGUGGCGAAGGCGGCCUUCUGGACUGACACUGACGCUGAGGUGCGAAAGCGUGGGUAGCAAACAGGAUUAGAUACCCGAGUAGUC